rnacentral:rRNA from 1 species
AGUGAACGCUGGCGGUAGGCCUAACACAUGCAAGUCGAACGGCAGCACAGUAAGAGCUUGCUCUUACGGGUGGCGAGUGGCGGACGGGUGAGGAAUACAUCGGAAUCUACUUUUUCGUGGGGGAUAACGUAGGGAAACUUACGCUAAUACCGCAUACGACCUACGGGUGAAAGCAUGGGAUCUUCGGACCUUGCGCGAUUGAAUGAGCCGAUGUCGGAUUAGCUAGUUGGCGGGGUAAAGGCCCACCAAGGCGACGAUCCGUAGCUGGUCUGAGAGGAUGAUCAGCCACAAUGGAACUGAGACACGGUCCAGACUCCUAAGGGAGGCAGCAGUGGGGAAUAUUGGACAAUGGGCGCAAGCCUGAUCCAGCCAUACCGCGUGGGUGAAGAAGGCCUUCGGGUUGUAAAGCCCUUUUGUUGGGAAAGAAAAGCAGCAGGUUAAUACCCAGCUGUUCUGACGGUACCCAAAGAAUAAGCACCGGCUAACUUCGUG